rnacentral:rRNA from 1 species
UACGUAGGGUGCAAGCGUUGUCCGGAAUUAUUGGGCGUAAAGAGCUCGUAGGCGGUUUGUCGCGUCUGCUGUGAAAACUCGGGGCUUAACUCCGGGCCUGCAGUGGGUACGGGCAGACUAGAGUGCGGUAGGGGAGACUGGAAUUCCUGGUGUAGCGGUGAAAUGCGCAGAUAUCAGGAGGAACACCAAUGGCGAAGGCAGCUCGCUGGGACGUGACUGACGCUGGAGACGCGAAAGCGUGGGGAGCAAACAGG